UGGAGAAGUCAGCUUGCAGACCGUCCCAAUGAUAAUGAAGGUAGCAAGGCACACCGAACUGAUAGCUUUUAAUGUGGCCACCUUGGGAGGAGCUCCCAUUAUAUUGGGGAUGAGCUGGCUAGCGUUACAUGAUCCGCUGGUGGGCUGGCAUCAGAGAGUGGUUUCUUUUGGUUCAGCACAUUGCUUAGAACACUGCAAAGAGGGAAAGGGUUUGGCAGGGGUCCAAGCCACCCUAGCAGGGACUGAAGUAACAGAGAACGUGAAGGUACCACGACAAUAUGCAGAUCUCCGUGACGUCUUCAGCGAAAGGGAAGCUGACCAACUACCCCCGCAUAGACCCUUUGACUGUCAAAUCAACUUACUCCCUGGAGCACAGCUCCCUGUAGGCAAGCUGUACGUCAUGUCAGACAGAGAGAUGCAGGAGUUAAGAGAGUUCAUUGACAAGAACCUGAAGAGAGGGUUCAUCAGAGAGUCCAGGGCGGUGGGGGCAGCCCAGUGUUUUUGUGGAUAAGAAAAACACGAACAAGCCGAGGCUGGUGUGUGACUUCAGGGCCUUAAAUGCAGUGUCAGAACCAGUAGCCUUCCCUAUGCCCAGGAUUGACGACAUUUUGACAAGGGUGCGGAAGGGAAAGAUUUUUACAAAGCUGGACCUAAGGGGGGCGUACAACCUGGUACGAAUAAGGAAGGGGGAUGAAUGGAAAACCACUAUGUUCACCCCUUUAGGGGCAUUUGAAUAUUUGGUUAUGCCCUUCGGCCUCCAAGCAGGCUCCGCAACCUUUCAAUCGUUUAUGAACCACGUCCUGGGGCCUUUGCUUUACAAGAAUUGUGUGGCCUUUUUAGACGACGUGUUGGUGUAUUCUGAGAAUGAGGAGCAGCAUGUGAGAGACGUCAGAGAAGUGUUGAGCAGGCUGCAAGCCAACCAGCUGUGGGUGAAACUGGAGAAGUGUCAGUUUCAUACCAAGGAGGUGGAAUUCCUGGGGUAUCGCCUGUCAGACAAGGGAUUGGCCAUGGAUCCCGGCAAGGUCCAGGCUGUGCUGGAAUGGAAAGCACCCAAAACAAAGAAGGAUGUGCAGAGGUUCCUAGGAUUUGGGAACUUCUAUCGUAAGUUCAUCCGAAACUUUGCCCACCUGACGGCGCCCAUUACGGACUGUCUCAGCAGUAAGAAGAAGUUCGUGUGGACUGAGGAGGCGGAGCGAGCAUUUGAGGAACUAAAAGGGCCUUCGCCUCGGAACAACAACUCCUGCAUGUGGAUUUACAAAAACCGAUGAGAGUGGAAACUGACGCAUCAGACAGAGCGAUUGGGGCGGUGCUUCUGCAGCCAGGCAAGAAGGGGUCAGAGUGGAGACCGUGUGCCUUUUUUCGCGAAAGCUGAACAAAUCCGAGAGGAACUACACGGUGUAUGACCGAGAACUACUAGCCAUUCAUGAGGCGUUCCGGAGAUGGAGGCACCUGCUAAUUGGCGCACAACAUAAGGUGCAAGUGUGCACUGACCACAAGAACCUAGAGUAUUGGAGGACGGCACGAGUGCUCAACCAACGGCAAGUGAGAUGGGCCCAGGAGUUCUCCAAAUUUAACUUUGAGAUUAGUUACGUGCCAGGCCCAGAGAACAUUAGGGCGGACGCUCUCUCACGCAAACCUGAAUCUUUGGAGGGGGAGGGGGCACCCGAAGAGAGACAUGUCAUUCCAGAAGACCGCUGGGUGUGUGGGGCGGCAUUGGUGGGACAAAGAGAACUGGUAGAGGAAACAGAGAAUGAUGAAUACGCCCAGAAUAAGCUCAGAGGUCUUAGGGGUGAUGGAGAGGAACCAGGGGGUUUCGAGGAAAGAAAUGGAGCUUUGUAUUACAAAGGGGCACUGUAUAUCCCUGAAGGAGAGUUAAGGGGGGGGUACUCAAGCAGUUGCACGACAGCCCUACGGCGGGGCAUUUUGGACAACACAAAACCAUGUGGUUGGUCACCAGGGAAUUUUGGUGGCCUAAGGUGAGGGAAGAUGUACGUGAGUAUGUAAGAGGGUGCGAGCAAUGCCAGCGAGCCAAAGGGGAAAGGCGGGCGCCGGCGGGGCUAUUAGAACCCUUACCAACCCCAGAACGACCUUGGGAGGCAGUGUCGAUAGAUUUUAUGACUGAUCUGCCGAAGUCCAAAGGGAAAACAGCCAUCAUGGUGGUGGUAGACCUACUAACAAAGAUGUGCCACUUUGUAGCUUGCUCGCAUGCAGUCACGGCGGAAGAGACAGCGAAGUUAUUUGUAGAAAACAUUUUUAGGUUGCACGGGGUGCCAUUGAGGGUGGUCUCAGACCGAGGAAAACAAUUUACUUCCAGGUUCUGGAGGAAGCUCAUGAGCUUACUGCAGGUGGAGGUCAAUUUUUCGACUGCCCGGCACCCUGAAACCAACGGGCAGGCGGAAAGAGCAAACGGUGUCCUCCAGCAAUACCUGAGGUGUUAUGUCAAUGACAGAGAGAAUGACUGGGUAGAAAAGUUGGCGCUGGCGGAAUUUGCCUACAACAAUGCCGAGAAUGUGUCCACAGGGAUGAGCCCCUUCUUGGCUAAUUAUGGGUGUCAUCCCAGGGCUUUCCCAGGGGAGAGGGGGAGAGAUGGAGCGUCCCGGCAGCCGAGCAUUUUGUGGAAGAAAUGGAAGCAAUCCAUCGUCAGCUCCAACUCAACUUAGAAAGGGCGAAGGAAGAAUACAAGAGGCAGGCAGACAAGAACCGAAGGGAAGGUGAAACCAUAAGGGUGGGAGAUAGGGUGUGGCUGUCAACCCAAGGGUUGCCGUUCAAAGGAGGUUGUAAGAAAUUAAGACCCAGGAGGUUGGGUCCCUUUGAGGUCAUUCAACAGGUCAACCCAGUGGCUUUCAGGCUCCGGUUACCCAACCACAUGAAACUGCACCCAGUAUUUCACAGGUCGUUACUGUCACCGUACGAAGGGGGACGAGAAGGGCUGGCCACUCGGGGACCGGUCGUAGAAGAAAGAGAAUGCAGCAGCCAUGUGGCAGAAAUCCUCGAUGCCAGGUGGAAGGGGGAUCAGGUGGAGUAUUUGGUAGCGUGGGAAGGAGAACCGGAGUCAGAAAACACUUGGGUAAUGGCUGAAGAUAUCAAUGACGAGGUAUUGAUAGAAACGUUCCAUCAAAGGUUCCCAAGGAAACCUCAGCCUGUAGAGAGGUUCCGGAGGGAAUACUUUGGGACCACUGAUGAAGGGGAGGAGUUGGAAGGAUUCCCGGACUCGGAAGGGGAAGGGGAGAUGGACUCUGAGGAGGAGGUGUACUUCGAGACCAGGAACCGCAACAGGUUGAGAGAAGUGUUCGAGACAUCGGAAGAUGAAGGAAGUUCAUUCCGGGGUUUUGCCUCCUCACCGCCCGUAGAGGAGGGGGCGAGAGGGGGUGAAGGGGGCCCUGGAGGGGAGGUGGAUGUCAGGGAACUGCCAUCGGACGGAAGGGAGGUGAAAGGGCUCACACAGGUUGGGAGAGACGCAGCAGCUGAAGAGGAAACCAACAGGGAGGUGAAAGGGCUCACACAGGUUGGGAGAGACGCAGCAGCUGAUGAGGGAACCAGCAGGGGAGAGGAGCUGAGCUGGAGGGAUGGCUCAGAGACACUUCCAGCGAAAACAGUGGAGAGGUUUCAGGACCUCCUGUAAGAACACCCACUCCUCGCCGGAAACUGUCACGCAGAGAUUCCAGAAGACGUGUUUCCGUUAAGGAGCUUUUAUGUUGGAAGCGAUUACGAAAGCAACCACUGUCGGAAUCUGCUAGUGACUAGAGUAGCCAUGUCUGAGGGGCUCUGUCACAGACAGAGGUUUGUGGACUUGAACAAACUCUGAGGGGAUACGAUUUUACGCACAAGCAGCUCAUCAUCCCAUCACA
rnacentral:lncRNA from 1 species